rnacentral:rRNA from 1 species
AUUGGGCCUAAAACGUCCGUAGCCGGCUUGGUUAAUUCCUGGGUAAAUCGUACCGCUCAACGGUGCGGAUUCCGGGGACACUGCCAGGCUUGAGACCGGGGGAGAUCAGAGGUACUUGCGGGGGAGCGGUGAAAUGUUGUAAUCCCGCAGGGACCACCAAUGGCGAAGGCAUCUGAUCAAAACGGCUCUGACGGUGAGGGACGAAACCCUGGGGCGCAAACGGGAUUAGAUACCCCGGUAGUCCAGGGCGUAAACGCUGCUGACUUGGUGUUGGAGGUCCUGCGAGGGCGUCCAGUGCCGGCACGAAGGUAUUGAGUCAGCCGCCUGGGGAGUACGGUCGCAAGACUGAAACUUAAAGGAAUUGGC